rnacentral:rRNA from 1 species
UACGAAGGGUGCAAGCGUUACUCGGAAUUACUGGGCGUAAAGCGUGCGUAGGCGGUUUGUUAGGUCUGAUGUGAAAGCCCUGGGCUCAACCUGGGAAUUGCAUUGGAUACUGGCAGGCUAGAGUGCGGUAGAGGAUGGCGGAAUUCCCGGUGUAGCAGUGAAAUGCGUAGAGAUCGGGAGGAACAUCUGUGGCGAAAGCGGCGCACUGGACCACAACUGACGCUGAGGCGCGAAAGCUAGGGGAGCAAACAGG